GAUGAACGCUGGCGGCGUGCCUAAUACAUGCAAGUCGAGCGAACAGACGAGGAGCUUGCUCCUCUGAUGUUAGCGGCGGACGGGUGAGUAACACGUGGAUAACCUACCUAUAAGACUGGGAUAACUUCGGGAAACCGGAGCUAAUACCGGAUAACAUGUUGAACCGCAUGGUUCAACAGUGAAAGACGGUCUUGCUGUCACUUAUAGAUGGAUCCGCGCCGCAUUAGCUAGUUGGUAAGGUAACGGCUUACCAAGGCAACGAUGCGUAGCCGACCUGAGAGGGUGAUCGGCCACACUGGAAGUGAGACACGGUCCAGACGCCUACGGGAGGCAGCAGUCGGGAAUCUUCCGCAAUGGGCGAAAGCCUGACGGAGCAAGGCCGCGUGAGUGAAGAAGGUCUUCGGAUCGUAAAACUCUGUUAUUAGGGAAGAACAAAUGUGUAAGUAACUAUGCACGUCUUGACGGUACCUAAUCAGAAAGCCACGGCUAACUACGUG
rnacentral:rRNA from 1 species